GUGGAUAUAGUUCAGUGUAGAGUGCAUGCUUAGCAUGCACAAGGUCCUGGGUUCAAUCCCCAGUACCUCCA
rfam:Camelus ferus unplaced genomic scaffold scaffold1172, whole genome shotgun sequence.